rnacentral:lncRNA from 1 species
CUUCUGCUUAUAGUAUCUAACAAAUUGAUCCAAAUACAAAACAAUUAAUCAAUGAACUAUGGAAAAGAGGUCAGGGUCAGAUACAGCCUCCCAUUCAGAGUUGAACUCUAACUGCUUAUAGUAUGUGAGAUACUAACUUGACAAAAAACAACUUAACAUUAGUCAUUAAUCUAUUAAAUGAGCUAAUGUCCAGCGACAAAUAUUUCAUGCAUAUUCAGGCAACUUCUUCCACUAAGACUGAAAUUUCUAAAAAUAAAAAAAAAAGUGCAUUUUACAUUUUUGAUGGUUUCUUUUUCAUUGGACACAUUUAAAUGUCUUUUUUAAAAGUUUAUAUCCCAAUGAUGAUCGUGUUUAAGUUUGAUUCUAAAUCGGCCAUUGUUUAAGAGAAGAUUGUUGUACCUUCAAGGUCAUAAAACUUUGCUCAGUGCUUGGAGCACAAAAAUCAUGCUCGAAACAUGAAAUCCUACAUUUUGAUUGGUUGAUUUUGGAGUAUGAGUACAAAAAACUGACUCGAAAGUUUUAUGACUCUAAGGGAUGAGUUUAACGUAAAGUGAAAGAGAGGCAAAGGAUACCCUAGUCAAAAAUAAACUGACAACUCCAUGGCAAAAACAAAUAUGAACAGACCAGACAGACAAUAGUACAUUAGACAGCAUACAAAACUAAAGACUGCAUGAACAGCACAAACCCCACACAAUCUGGGGGUGAUCUAAUGUGCUUUGAAAAUUGCAUGAACUUCAAAAUGUAUCAGACAAAUUAAAGCUGUGAAAGAUUGAAAUAAACUGCUAAGAUCAGCAUGGAGGCAUAUUGGACAAAUCACUAAACUUUCAGUGUUACAUCUGUGAUUGGGAAACUGGACCAAAUAUUUUUUGAAGUUUUGAGACUGUCUAGUCAAAGUAUUGGCAAAACAAAAUUGUGAAUUUACAUUUUAAUUGAUGAUUUAACAUGGUAAAUACAAUGAUUUGAUAAAAUGGCUAAAAUUCUAUAACAAUUGUCUAAAACAUACAUAGAUAAUUCAUAUACAAAUAUUUCAAGCACCUGUACCAGACUAAAAUCAAUUUUCCUGAAUAUUUUUUCUACAAUACAGGACUGGUUAAAGUUACAAACUUGGCAUAUAGAAAUAUUGCUUUACUGACUUGAACUUUAAUGAUAGAUUUUUUCUUUGAAAUUUGUACUCUAAAUAAAGUUCCUUCAAGCACCAUGUGACUAUAUUGGACUAUUUGGUUUACCGUUGUGCUCUCUGUAAAUAUGUUCUAGUUAGAGUUAUUGUAAGUGAAAAAGUGUUUGUCCAAAUAUCAUGGUGCUUUAAGAAAAUACUUGGUGUAUUAUAAUGCCAAAGUUAAGUUUUAUGUUUAAAUUCUGUCACAAGCACUUGGUUAUAAAAUAUGUACAUCAAUUUCAGAUUUACACAGAAUUAAUUCAAGAAACAGCUAUUUAUGAAAUUAACAUACAAAUAUAUGAUUACAUUAAUUUUCCAUGAUUUUAAAAAUGAUUUAUAAUUGAAAGGGUGCAUAUAAAAAGGAGAUGUUUGCACAAUAAAAACAUGAGUCUUUUAUCUGCUAAAACAAAACAGAUGGACCAUGAAUUAACCUAUUUUGCUAAAGAGAAUUUAAAAUUGACAAAGUUGCCAGCUUUUGAUGAACUUGUGCCAGUCCUGUAUUGUAUUAACAGUAAUUAUGCUAAAAUCAUAUAUAUUCUAAAAGUUUGUUAAAAAAUGUUCUAUAUACAAUUUUAGUACCAUCUUGUGCUGGUUGUCAUACUAUAUAAGUAUGAUUUGUCAGUCAUAACAAAGAGUAUGUGGAUGAUUGGAUACAAAAAAAUCAAAGAGCUGAUAGCUCUGAAGUGGAAGAAGGUGAAUAAAAGGUAACUUGAAUUACCAUAAAAGCAGCCCCACUUACCCAGGCUGCUUUGUUCCAUUAUCGUUAAAAUGUAUUUUUUUUCUUCAAACAAGAAAAGGUCAUAAGUACAUGGAUUUCCCAUCCGUACAAUCAUUUUCUAUGUUCAGUUGACUAUGAAAAUU